UACGAAGGGUGCAAGCGUUACUCGGAAUUACUGGGCGUAAAGCGUGCGUAGGCGGUUUGUUAAGUCCGUUGUGAAGCCUGGGCUCAACCUGGGAAUUGCAGUGGAUACUGGCGAGCGUAGAGUGCGGUAGAGGAUGGUGGAAGUUCCCGGUGUAGCGGUGAAAUGCGUAGAGAUCGGGAGGAACACCCGUGGCGAAGGCGGCCAUCUGGACCAGCACUGACGCUGAGGCACGAAAGCGUGGGGAGCAAACAGG
rnacentral:rRNA from 1 species